rnacentral:sRNA from 1 species
CUUUACACAUCUGUUUUUACGUAUUUUGUAAUUAUAUAAUUUUCUAUUGAUGGUAAAACUAGAUUUACUAGCCGUUAUUGUUGGCAUAAUUAGCUACUUUCAGUUAUCAUGGGAACAGCAGACAGGUGUAUUGGAAAAAUCCAAUUUUCUACAAAUGGAGAAAGAUUUCUUGACAACAACAAAUGAGAUGAAUAUUUGGCAAAAACCUGAAUGGAGAUCACGAACCCAAAGCGAACGAAUUGAUGCAAGCACAACUUUUCGUCCGACUCCAGCGUAUCCUUGGCUAUCCAAGGAUCAAUUCUCUAAAUUUCCAAAUAAUUUGAAAACAGAUGAAAUGAAAUCAAAUAUACCGCUCAGAGCACGUAGUCGCAUCAAUGAUAAUUUCAAAAUUGAGCCUCGCGCCGCUCGACGAUAUUAUCCCCGGAACAUUUGCAGCAGUAUGUGCAUCGAAAUCGACUGUGUACAAUGUGCCCAAAGUUAUGGAUUGGCUGGGCCGUAACAUGUAUGUCAAUGUAACGUAUGAAACAAAAGGUGCCUUAAUGAACGAUCGUCCCAUCUGGUACGAUCUGAGAUUUUACCUGUAUACCGUGGGCAGAUCAGAAGAAUGUCAUAGCACUGAACUAGCUACGUGGAAACCGUAUCUUGAGUGCGCAUUGUUACGCAAUCAACGCAUGGAAUAUAUGAUACCCAAAUAUCCAUUGCAUCAGCUAGGCUAUAUUUUUCGUUAUACAAAACAAAUGGAUGAAAGACCCUACAACAAAGACAGUUCUUACAAACCUCGAUAUGAUUGGAAGGACUAUUGGGCGGCCGC